rnacentral:rRNA from 1 species
UACGGAGGGUGCAAGCGUUAUCCGGAUUCACUGGGUUUAAAGGAUGCGUAGGUGGGUUGGUAAGUCAGUGGUGAAAUCCCCGAGCUUAACUUGGGAACUGCCAUUGAUACUAUCAGUCUUGAAUACCGUGGAGGUCAGCGGAAUAUGUCAUGUAGCGGUGAAAUGCUUAGAUAUGACAUAGAACACCAAUUGCGAAGGCAGCUGGCUACACGAAUAUUGACACUCAGGCACGAAAGCGUGGGGAUCAAACAGG